CCCCCAUUCAUGCGUGGUAUAUUUGCCACACACGUGGCUUUCAGCCAUUACUACCCCCCUCUAAAAUAUUAUCUCACAGAAAGGUCCCUUUUCAAAAAAUGCCCCCCCCCCGCGGGAAAAUCCUUAAAAAAGGCCCUGUAGCAAGAUAAGCAAUAUUCUGUGAGUAUUUUGUUAAAAGAUGAUAAAAAAGAUAGAUAUACACUGCCAUAUACUGCCGAAAGAGUGGCCUGAUUUGAAGAAGGUUGGUUGAAACGAUUUUAGUAUCUAGUUUGACCGAGAGUUUAACUCUUUGAUGUCUCAUUUUACGUGCAAACACCAUAUUAUGUAUGUCACGUAUUAAUAAAUAUCCAGUAAGAUUGGUAUUCAUGGUCGUAAAGUUUUAAAUUUAUAAUAUACGGUAUAUUGGUUGUUGCCAAACUCAACAAAACAUGUUUAAUGAUAUUAUUAUAGAUUUAUAAAGUGUUUACAUGGCAGCCUCACAGUAGCUAGCACAGUUUCACUGAGUCCUGCUGAGGUCUGCCUUGAGGUCUGCCAGGGGUUUCAAGGAACAAGGCAUAUUUGCAAUGGGAAACACAGGAACAAAGUCAAAAAUCAUAGGCAACAAGGGAAGAUGUAAAAGUGAACAAGAGACCAUGGUUAAAUCUUUGUGGGGACAAAGUGAAACAGUAACACAGACCCCCCCCCCCCCUGGGUGACUCUCCAUGCUGGGUACUUGGUCAUGCUUAGUAUAUGUGUCUAGGAUAUAUAUAUAUAUAUAUAUGUGUAUAUAUAUGUAUAUGUAUAUAUGUGUAUAUAUAUAUAUGUGUAUAUAUGUGUAUAUGUGUCUAGGAUAUAUAUAUAUAUAUAUAUGUGUAUAUAUAUGUCUAGGUCACUAAAACAAUGACAAGCUGUUGUUUUGAUAGCUUUGUGUUUAAAAUAUUUGAUAGCUUGUGCUAACUGUGUGGACAAUUUGUAUUGUAUUGUAUUGUAUUUGUAUUGCAAUUGUAUUGUAUUGUAUUGUAUUGUAUUGUAUUUGUAUUGCAAACAUGUCACAAAUAAUGUAAUAAUUAUUAUAAAAUAACAUGUAUAUAACGCGUGCUCUGAUUGGUCGAAAACCCAUGUUUGGAUCAGGCCAUCAGGGCAGGAAAAAAUAAUUUUCUUCCUGGAAGCACAACCGGGAGACAAAAAUUUCCUGCAGACCAGCGGAGUAUUUUUGUGCUAAAUCUGUAUGUGCAUAAACAUGAAUGAAUGAAUGAAUGAAUGAGGCAUGGGUGAAUGAAUGGGACAUGCAUAGCAAAUAAUAGCAAAUCUUCGUUCAAACGAAGUUCCUGCAGCUGUUUAACAUAUCCUGCAAGCAGUACUCGCGUGCUCGCCUAUUUUUUCCACCCCUGCAGGCCAUCCAAACACAGAAGACUAUCGUGUUGUUGUUAUUUUAUAAAACAAUUACUUUAUGGUUUCCCUGUUAGGAUGGCCUGAUCCAAACACUUGGGAAUGUUACUCGAGUUAAGAAAAGCAUGCAAAAUCACUCGCCUUCGGCUUGUGCUUUCGCAUGCUUUUCUUAACUUUCGCAACAUUCCUGCGUGUUUGGAUCAGGCCAUCCAAACACGGAAAGCAUAAAGUAAUUGUAUAACAAGACAUUAUAAAAAGAAUAGUAUUUUUAACACUACAUCAGAAACACAUUUUUCUUGUUUGAGAGUUGUUUUUUCGACUAGCUUAUGUGGCCCACAGCCUCGCACCUUUCACGUUUGCAGUAUACCCACCCAACAAUUUCUUGAUGACAUCAUACAUUUUUCCCUGCACUUGUUCUAAUUUUGCUCUGGCUAUUAUUUCCACUGGUAAUAGGUGACAUGCAAUAUCAUGCAUAUAUAUAUGCAACCUGUCAUGUUGAUGUCUUUUUGGCAGAAACAAACAUUUGACCCCAAUCCUUGAAUCACAUUCUGAAUCAGUAGUUAAAUAUUUGGGAGUGGAGGGCAUCCAGGCAAAAUUUGGUAUUAAAGGUCUCAGGAUUAUUAUUACUCAGCCUGAGUGUUAAUGGGCUGCUACUGAAACCUCUAUUUAUUUUACUAAUUAAGAUUUUACUUUUAUUUUACAGAGAUAUGGCUAUGGAGGAUUUAUUAAAUUACAUCAUCACUGCAAAGUAUGUUGCAUAUUGUGCAGUAUAGCUUAGACAAAUAUUAACCCAUUAAGCGCUAGCGCUCUCCCCUUGACGAGUAAAAUCGUCUGGUGUUAGACAGAGUAAAAUACUAAAGUAGGGUGCGUCAGG
rnacentral:lncRNA from 1 species